rnacentral:rRNA from 1 species
AUUGAACGCUGGCGGCAGGCCUAACACAUGCAAGUCGAGCGCGAAAGUCUUCGGAUGAGUAAAGCGGCGAACGGGUGAGUAAUGCAUGGGAAUCUGCCUGGUAGUGGGGGACAACGUCUCGAAAGGGACGCUAAUACCGCAUACGCCCUACGGGGAAAGGGGGAGGUACUUCGGUACCGUCUCGCUAUCAGAUGAGCCCACUGUCAGAUUAGCUAGUUGGUAGGGUAAAGGACCUACCAAGGCGACGAUCUGUAACUGGUCUGAGAGGAUGAUCAGUCACACUGGAACUGAGACACGGUCCAGACUCCUACGGGAGGCAGCAGUGGGGGAAGUAA